CACACUGUAAACGAUGAUUGCUAGGUGUAGGGGGUCUGACCCCUUCUGUGCCGGAGUUAACGCAAUAAGCAAUCCACCUGGGGAGUACGGCCGCAAGGUUGAAACUCAAAGGAAUUGACG
rnacentral:rRNA from 1 species